CAAAAAAAAAUCCCGUAAUUAACUCAGACUCUAUAUCUAAUCUCAUCUAUAGAGGCAGCUAGUCAACCACCAUCGCGCCCCCACCAUCGCGCCGCCCGCAAGACCUCGCCGCCGAGGCACCCAACACAUCCCAUCCCUACCCCCACCGACCACCACAGCACUGGAUCUCCAUUCCCCUCUAACGCCCGGCGGCCCUGCACGGACAUAGUGCUGGCAGCAAGAUCCCAUCAUCUUUGGCCUCCUGCUGGACGGUGGACGCCACUGGUGCAGAUUCAGAUUGUACUUCUUUUUUCCAAGUUAUGCUUCCUGGAAGCCCACAUGUUCUACUAGCGCAAAGGUGCAGAUUUCCAAUUCGUGUUUUUUUUCGAAUUAUGCUUCCUGAAAGCCCACAUGUUCUACUAUCUCGACACACUUAUUGUGGAAUAGAAGUAUAAUUUGAUGGACUGGGACAUCACCCUGAUUUUCUAAUUGCCCGUAUUAAAACUCUCAUAUUUUCAUGUCCAGUGAUGAUCAGAAGCUGCUCGAUAAAAUGCCCCUUUGGUUUCAAGUUUCUUUAUUGUCAUUGAUUGCUGUUGACGAAAUGAUAUUUGAGAAACAUAACCUAUGGUAAUAUUUUCAUUCAGCUCCAGACAUUUGGUACCCACCAUCUAAUUUUAAAUUUUAUUCUUGACGAUUAUUGUAAUGAACUACUCCCUUUGAUCCCUUUUAAUUGACUUGGAUUUAGUACAACUUCUUUUUAAUUGACUCAGAUUUAGUGGGAUCAGACGGAGUAGAAAAUUCAUAAUUAAAAAGUAUAUAGAGUCUGUAUGUAGAAUGUUAUCUCCACUUAUACAUGAACCUUCCUGGCUUAGAGUCGGGAAACUUUUAUAUGAUCUAACCCAUGGUUUGAUGACUAUAAUUUGAGAAAUUUCAUUUGGCAUUGCAUAAUGUUCAUUGCUACUAAAGCAACUAAAUUUAACAUUUAAAAUUGCAGAGAAGAAAUUAUUUCAUUUAUAUCUAUGUACUACGGAUAGUCUAGGUGGAGCAUAUUUUCUAUUCACAAAUAAGAAUAGUGAAGUAAGCCUUUGUCACGACUUAAGUUAGUACCAUCAACUAGAGUGCUGGUGAUGGACAAACCAAGUACAAAACUGGGUUUGUGAUGAUUGCCAUCUUUGUUUAUUUUGGUACUUCUCGUAGGAACUUGUCAACAGAGUUUUCUUGUAAUUAUCUUUCUCUUAUUUCAGGUGGAGUAACUAACGUACAUGUGAGUACUGAUGGACAGGGAGAACAAUUCUUGCUAAGAAUUACCAACACUAUGGUGCUUUGGUGUCGGCUCUUAUGAUGAUUGGCGGAGGAAUCAAGUCUGUUUUUGGUUUCAUCGUAGACAUUCUUAUUCUGGCAUUCUGGAUUAGUUAUUAUGAAGUUCUCAAUGUUUUUGCCAUGAGGUGGCCAUAUGAUGUUGUUGCAAACGACUAGUUGUUGUUUGUGUCUCACUAAUGUAAACGUAAUUUUCAGUAA